rnacentral:misc_RNA from 1 species
AAUCAUCAAAAACCAUUUCUUUUAUAGAAAAGGUUUUUGGACUUGGAGGUUUGAUGCUUGCUUUUGUCUUUAAAAGCAAGCUCCUCUCAAAUGAAUUAGUGGGGUCUGCUUUGCUGAUCCUUGACGUGAUAAGAUGUUUCUACGUUUUGGACUUGGCAUCGUGCUGCCUGCUUCUAACUGUCUUACGGACAAAUGAUGGUGCUCCGGUCACCUGCCAAUCCACAUUGGUGGGAGGCUGGACCCACAAAAAGAAC